GAUGAACGCUGGCGGCGUGCUUAACACAUGCAAGUCGAACGGUGAACGAGGGAGCUUGCUCCCUCCGGAUCAGUGGCGAACGGGUGAGUAACACGUGAGCAAUCUGCCCUGGACUCUGGGAUAAGCGUUGGAAACGACGUCUAAUACCGGAUACGAGGCGUGGGGGCAUCCCCAACGCCUGGAAAGAACUUCGGUCCAGGAUGAGCUCGCGGCCUAUCAGCGAGUUGGUGAGGUAACGGCUCACCAAGGCGACGACGGGUAGCCGGCCUGAGAGGGUGACCGGCCACACUGGGACUGAGACACGGCCCAGACUCCUACGGGAGGCAGCAGUGGGGAAUAUUGCACAAUGGGCGCAAGCCUGAUGCAGCAACGCCGCGUGAGGGACGACGGCCUUCGGGUUGUAAACCUCUUUUAGCAGGGAAGAAGCGAAAGUGACGGUACCUGCAGAAAAAGCCCCGGCUAACUUCGUGCCAGCCGCCGCAGUAAAAC
rnacentral:rRNA from 1 species